rnacentral:misc_RNA from 1 species
CCAAGUUGAACUUUCGUUGGUCGAAGACAUCUUAUCGUUUGAACCUCGGAGUUUCGAGCAGACGGAGAAUCAGACGAAACGAGAAUAAAAUCGGAGUAGCAUGAAACGUAAGGGAAACACGUGUAAGCAGAGGGUGGCCGCGUUUCUGAAUUCGUCAAGGGGAGGAUUGGCGUCGUUCGGGGUCAAGAGAGCGACACAAGAGAGACUUUAUGGCAGUGCUGUUGGUCCGAGUUAAGCCCCGGAGCUUAGGGACCUUACCCCCAUUCUCUUCGAGUUGCUACGCUAUACGAACAUCGGCCAGAUAACGCAAACUCGGUGUCAUCCGUGAGAAAUAGGUAUUAGCAGCUAUGAUUGCUCUCCCGUGAGAAUCUGUUCAUUUCUAUCUUUUAGAGUUACUACGUAGAUAGAAGCCAGACCACUGUGCGAACCUCCUUUACCUGCACGUACCUACCUUCAUGGACGACUAUU